rnacentral:lncRNA from 1 species
CAAGACCAACACCCACACCAGUAAAUAUGGGUUUCCAGUAUCGAUCUCUUAGGACCUCCACCUUCACAGCAAUCUAUACAACCCCUUUUAAGCCCAGUUUAAAACAUAUACACAUUCACAUUCAUCAAAUCCUUAAUUAUUCAUAAAGGCAUAUACUCACGGUAUCGUCAUACCAAUUACUCUUGCAAGUUAAUAUCAUCAUAUAAUUCUAAGUAUCCAUCAACUUGGGGAAUCCGCG